rnacentral:rRNA from 1 species
AUUGAACGCUGGCGGCAUGCCUUACACAUGCAAGUCGAACGGCAGCACGGGGCAACCUGGUGGCGAGUGGCGAACGGGUGAGUAAUGCAUCGGAACGUACCUUUCAGUGGGGGAUAACGUAGCGAAAGUUACGCUAAUACCGCAUAUUCUGUGAGCAGGAAAGCAGGGGAUCGCAAGACCUUGCGCUGAUUGAGCGGCCGAUGUCAGAUUAGCUAGUUGGUGAGGGAAAGGUUCACCAAGGCGACGAUCUGUAGCGGGUCUGGGAGGAUGAUCCGCCACACUGGAACUGAGACACGGUCCAGACUCCUACGGGAGGCAGCAGUGGGGAAUUUUGGACAAUGGGGGCAACCCUGAUCCAGCCAUGCCGCGUGAGUGAAGAAGGCCUUCGGGUUGUAAAGCUCUUUCGGCCGGGAAGAAAUCGCACGGGCUAAUACCCUGUGUGGAUGACGGUACCGGAAUAAGAAGCACCGGCUAACUACGUGCCAGCCGCCGCCGUAACAC